AACGAACGCUGGCGGCAUGCCUAACACAUGCAAGUCGAACGAGACCUUCGGGUCUAGUGGCGCACGGGUGCGUAACGCGUGGGAACCUGCCCUUAGGUUCGGAAUAACUCCCCGAAAGGGGUGCUAAUACCGGAUAAUGUCUUCGGACCAAAGAUUUAUCGCCUUUGGAUGGGCCCGCGUUGGAUUAGCUAGUUGGUAGGGUAAAAGCCUACCAAGGCGACGAUCCAUAGCUGGUCUGAGAGGAUGAUCAGCCACACUGGGACUGAGACACGGCCCAGACUCCUACGGGAGGCAGCAGUGGGGAAUAUUGGAAAAGGGGGGAAAGCCUGAUCCAGCAAUGCCGGGGGAGUGAUGAAGGCCUUAGGGUUGUAAAGCUCUUUUACCCGGGAUGAUAAUGACAGUACCGGGAGAAUAAGCCCCGGCUAACCCCGU
rnacentral:rRNA from 1 species